rnacentral:rRNA from 1 species
CCUACGGGAGGCUGCAGUGGGGAAUAUUGCACAAUGGGGGAAACCCUGAUGCAGCGAAGCAGCGUGAGUGAAGAAGUCACUCGUUACGUAAAGCUCCAUUUGCAGGGAAGUAAAUGACGGUAUCUGUGUACGCAGCUCCGGCUCACUACGUGCCAGAAGCCGCGGUAAUACGUCGGGGGCAGGCGUUAUCCGGAUUUACUGGGUGUAAAGGGAGCGUAGGCGGUGCGCCAAGUCCGGAGUGAAAUGCGGCAGCUUAACCGCGUAACUGCAGUUGAAACUGGCGAACUAGAGUGCGGUAGGGGUAGGCGGAAUUCGUGGUGUAGCGGUGAAAUGCUUAGAUAUUAGGAAGAACUCCGAUGGCGAAGGCAGCUUACUGGACCGUAACUGACGCUGAGGCUCGAAAGCGUGGGUAUCAAACAGGAUUAGAUACCCUAGUAGUC